rnacentral:lncRNA from 1 species
CUCCUGCCCUCUCCUUUCGCUGCUUAAGUUGUGGCUGAAGUGGAUAGGUGGAGAAGAAAGUGCAAAUUAACCGGCAUCCUGCGGUCUCUCCAAAAGAUGCCUUUAUUAACGCUGUGGGGUAGUAAUUUCAGAUCCCCUGAGGUGGUAUUGAGGUCGGGGAAACUCAUUCUGCAUCCAAAACAAGCCUCUCUUGAUCUGAAGAUCCUGCCAGGGCGGCUCCUCCUGCACCGACUCCCAGGGGUGCAAACACACCGAAUUCUGUCCAGAAAAAGAAAUCUCUCUGAAGGUUGCAGUCUAGAUGGCUGUUCCAGCGCCAGUCAUCACAUCUGCAUUCCAGCUAGCAGGAAGGAAGAAUGCAAAGAGAAGGACAUAACCUCUCUCUCCAAGGACACUUCUCAGAAGUUAACACACAAUUCUUCUGCUUACAUUCCAUUGGCCAGAACUUGGGCACAUGGCCACAUCUAGCUGCAAAGAGAGGCUGGCAAAUAAAAUCUUUAUUUCAAACAACUUUGUUCCCUACUGAAAAAAGGAGGAGUUUGUUAUUACAGAACUUGGUUUAACAACUGGAGCACUAUUGGCAGGACAGUCUCUUUUGAAUGAGACUGUCUCGUACAUUUUAGGACAUUUACACCACCAGGCCCCAGAUACUACCUAAACGCUGGUAGCACCCUCCCAGUGACUGUAUCAACCCAUGCUCCUACAAUUUAAAGUUAACCUUGGGGGUAGCACUGUCUUUGAAUUUUAGGUUUCUGUGGCAGGCAUUUUGCCUGCCCAGCAAGCAGUAUAUACCUUGCCAGGGAAAUACUCCUUCCCAUAGCCAUGUUUUGGAUAGCCAUCUUCUCAUGUGACUCUUUUUCUAAUAACAGAGAUGAGAAAACAGGUCAGCAUCUGACCCAGAGAAGGCCAAAUAAAAUCUUCUAACAGGUUUUUAAAAAUUAGACCUAGGUGAAGAGUUUUAAUUUCUUCCUGGGUGGAGGUA